GAGGAAGGUGGGGAAGANGUCAAGUCUUCAUGGCCCCUUUGUCCAGGGGUACACACGUGUUACAAAGGGCCGUACAAAGGG
rnacentral:rRNA from 1 species